rnacentral:lncRNA from 1 species
GGAAAAGUUCGGCCACUUACGAACUGACGAAGUUCUGGAAGAAAUUCGGAUUAGAGUCGAUCAAAUCCUGUUGGGAAAAAAUCUGGAAUAGGUCCGGAGAACGAUUGACCCUUGUAGGAGGUCGGCCGAUAGUAGAAUCUCGAGAGCAUUUGGAGCAGCCUAAUAGACGACUGAAGAAGCUCAUCGUUGGAGAAGUCUGGGAGAUGC